AGUCAAUAGAUACCCAGGUAGUCCAUGCCGUAAACGAUGAUUGCUAGGUGUGGGGGGUCUGACCCCUUCCGUGCCGGAGUUAAACACAAUAAGCAAUCCACCUGGGGAGUACGGCCGCAAGGUUGAAACUCAAAGGAAUUGACGGGGGCCCGCACAAGCAGUGGAGUAUGUGGUUUAAAUUCGAAGCAACGCGAAGAACCUUACCAGGUCUUGACAUCCACCGAAUCCUGUAGAGAUACGGGAGUGCCCUUCGGGGAACGGUGAGACAGGUGGUGCAUGGUUGUCGUCAGCUCGUGUCGUGAGAUGUUGGGUUAAGUCCCGCAACGAGCGCAACCCUUGUGAAUAGUUGCUACGAAAGAGCACUCUAUUCAGACCGCCGUUGACAAAACGGAGGAAGGUGGGGAUGACGUCAAAUCAUCAUGCCCCUUAUGACCUGGGCUACACACGUACUACAAUGGCCGUUAACAGAGGGAUGCAAUGCCGCGAGGUGGAGCGAACCCCUAAAAACGGUCUCAGUUCAGAUUGCAGGCUG
rnacentral:rRNA from 1 species